AAUAAUACGGACAUGCCUUUGGUAUUAGCAGGGUGCUUUCACCAUAUGCAACAAUACUUUCAUCUGUGAAUACCCACUUUCUAAGCCCACCAUGAACUACGAAGGUCAAUUAAUAUGUAAGGACACCAAUGAACAGGUAAAUUUUUGUUUUGGUAUUGAAAAUUUCUGUAUU